GGACAGAUGGGAGCUUGCUCCCUGAUGUCAGCGGCGGACGGGUGAGUAACACGUGGGUAACCUGCCUGUAAGACUGGGAUAACUCCGGGAAACCGGGGCUAAUACCGGAUGCUUGAUUGAACCGCAUGGUUCAAUUAUAAAAGGUGGCUUCUACUACCACUUACAGAUGGACCCGCGGCGCAAUAACUAGUUGGUGAAGUAACGGCUCACCAAGGCCACGAUGCGUAACCCAACUGAGAAGGUGAUCGGCCACACUGGGACUGAAACACGGCCCAGACUCCUACCGGAAGCAGCAGUAAGGAAUCUUCCGCAAUGGAAGAAAGUCUGAAGGAACAACGCCCCGUGAAUGAAGAAGGUUUUCCGAACGUAAAACUCUGUUGUUAGGGAAGAACAAGUACCGUUCGAAUAAGGCGGUACCUUGACGGUACCUAACCAGAAAGCCACGGCUAACUACCUGCCAACAGCCGCGGUAAUACCUAAGUGGCAAGCGUUGUCCGGAAUUAUUGGGCGUAAAGCGCGCGCAAGCCGUUUCU
rnacentral:rRNA from 1 species